AAGGACCGUGAGAAGCAGUGAACAUACUCACCACCAGACUCAAACUGAUACAGCUGGGGACAGGAGGAAGGGCAAAGUAUUGAUGCUGUGAGCUCUGACAGUGGGGGAAGGAGACGCAGGUCCACCACAGGUACAUGCACAGACACAAGCACACAUGUUUACAGGCAUGCACACAUAUACAUUUAUGCGUGCACACACAGACAUGGAGCAAGGGGGAAGACCAGUGGGAGCGAGCACCAGCCUGUUGGCUGCCUCCUGUGAACGGCUGGAAAUCACAGCGUGUCGUUCAAAACGAAUGAACCAACCAAGCAGAAGUGGAGCAUCUGGAAAGCCUGAAGGCCAACAAUAGAAGACGAUGCAACAACUGACGACUGG
rnacentral:lncRNA from 10 species